rnacentral:lncRNA from 14 species
CUGAUGUGCCAGCCCUAAUCCUCAGACCUCAGCCCUGACCCAUGUGUUGUGUCAGAGAGCUCAGAGUACACAGAGAACUGGCUCCUGACCAUUCAGAUCAGCAAGCUGGAAACCGAGAAAGACAAUGUUUUAGCUCAAAUCUGAAGGUACGAGGAAGCAGAUAACACAGUUCCGAG